UCCAGUACAAUGGAUAUACUCUUUUUUUUUUUUUUUUUUUUUGAGACAGAAUUUUACUCUUGUUGCCCAGGCUGGAGGCACGAUCUCAGCUCACUGCAACCUCCGCCUCCUGGCUUCAAGCAAUUCUCCUGCCUUAGCCCCCCAGGUAGCUGGGAUUAUAGGCAUACACCACCACGCCCAGCUAAAUUUGUAUUUUUAGUAGAGACAGGGUGUCUCCACGUUGGUCAGGCUGGUCUCGAACUCCUGGACCUGAGGUGAUCCACCCACCUCAGCCUCCCAAUGUGCUGGGAUUACAGGGGUGAGCCACCGUGCCCGGUGUGUACUCUUAAGAAGAGGGAGAUGUGAGCACAGGCACAAGGGGAGCAGCAUGGGAUGACAGAGGCAGAGACUGCAGUGAAGCAGCCGCAAGCCAAAGGGUACAGGCUGACGGCCACUACCAGAUGCUAGGAAGAGGCAGGGUGACUCCUCCCCUUCAGGUCCCCCAGACACCUCAGUUAGAACCUCCUGUUCCCAGAACUGUGAGAAAAGAAAUUGUCGUUUUAAAUCUGCCCAGCUCCUGGCACUUUGUUAUGGCAGUCCGUUAGGAGACACCGUGAUUGGGGUGUUAAUUAAUCUGGGGGUACUUCAGGACCAUAGUAUCUUGCUUGUAGCUCUAUGAAAGUCUUUAGUGGAUAAAUUCACUCUAAAAAGCUGCCUACAAGCUAAAAUGGUAAUCAUAACAGUUUUAAAUUUAUAGGGAGAAUGACAAGAAUCAUAAAAAGAAGAUGGUGGUGCUGGGGAAGAAAUGUCAUCGUUGGUUAGGGUCCUGGACGUAGCAUUCUGACUGGCCAGCCUCACGAAGAAGGCACGCUGAAUGAAUGGUGGAUCCUUUUGUUGGGAGGGCCUUCCUUUUGAAAAUGACCUGUACCUGCAAACAUGUGUGAAAACAGGAAGAAGCUGGAGUGAACAGAUGACAGGAUGGCGCCCUGCAAGGACUCAGACGAGUCAAGUCACCCGUGCGAAUUACACAAGAGGUGUGACAAACAUCCUUUCCUCAAUCCCCUUCUCUCCAGCCCCGGGGACAGGGGUUCCGCUGAGAACAAUUACACAGGACAGCGGGCAGAAGUUCAGGAUGUUACUUCCCGCCUAGGUCGGACAGGAGUCAGAGUUCACACCUUUUACUAGUUUUACUUGUAUUCAUUAGAGGUCAUUACCUGUGCAUCUUAACCUCUUAAAUAUUAAGCAACUUAAUGAAAUAUUGAAUAUGUCAUUGAUAUAUUUGAGGCAGGAGAAUAGGGUCUCGGGGGCAGGGAACUUAAACGCUUCCUACAACGAAAUCAAAAAGUAAAUAACCUUGUAACUCUCCCGGGAAGCAUCCCCUGUACUUGCAAAGGGUGCACACCACGUAAACACCUUUGUAACUUCCCUUCAGCCUCUUCGUUUACGCAGGGCAUACACCAAGUUACCACUGGAAACCUCUACAGAGUGUUUAAACUCAAGAGCAUCCUGUAACCCGGCUUUCGAGCUGCUGGCUCCGGCCGCUUCCGCCCCGUGGGGUGUGCUUUCGAUUCCAAUAAAUCUCUCCUUUUGUUGCUUCA